AGAACGAACGCUGGCGGCAGGCUUAACACAUGCAAGUCGAACGCUCGUAGCAAUACGGGAGUGGCGGACGGGUGAGUAACGCGUGGGAACGUGCCCUGAGGUACGGAAUAACUGCGGGAAACUGCAGCUAAUACCGUAUGAGCCCGAGCAAUCGGGGAAAGAUUUAUCGCCUUAGGAGCGGCCCGCGUCGGAUUAGCUAGUUGGUGGGGUAACGGCCUACCAAGGCUUCGAUCCGUAGCUGGUCUGAGAGGACGAUCAGCCACACUGGGACUGAGACACGGCCCAGACUCCUACGGGAGGCAGCAGUGGGGAAUCUUGCGCAAUGGGCGAAAGCCUGACGCAGCCAUGCCGCGUGAACGAUGAAGGCCUUAGGGUUGUAAAGUUCUUUUACCCGUGACGAUGAUGACGGUAACGGGAGAAUAAGCUCCGGCUAACUUCGUGCCAGCAGCCGC
rnacentral:rRNA from 1 species